GAUCAGUGGCUCAGAACGAACGCUGGCGGCAGGCUUAACACAUGCAAGUCGAACGGGCGUAGCAAUACGUCAGUGGCAGACGGGUGAGUAACACGUGGGAACCUUCCUAGGGGUACGGAACAACUCAGGGAAACUUGAGCUAAUACCGUAUACGUCCGUGAGGAGAAAGAUUUAUCGCCCUUAGACGGGCCCGCGUCGGAUUAGCUAGUUGGUGGGGUAACGGCCUACCAAGGCGACGAUCCGUAGCUGAUCUGAGAGGAUGAUCAGCCACACUGGGACUGAGACACGGCCCAGACUCCUACGGGAGGCAGCAGUGGGGAAUCUUGGACAAUGGGCGCAAGCCUGAUCCAGCCAUGCCGCGUGAGUGAGGAAGGCCUUCGGGUUGUAAAGCUCUUUUGUCAGGGACGAUAAUGACGGUACCUGAAGAAUAAGCCCCGGCAAACUUCGUG
rnacentral:rRNA from 1 species